UGUUGAUGAGUGGAUGUGUAUAUGAGCACAUAUCUAUCAGUGAAAGUGUGCUGAGAUAUGUGUUGAUAUGAAUGCAUACAGGGUCAUUAGUAUUAAUUUAUUAUUAUGAAUGUAGCCCAAAGAUUAAGUGGAAAAUGCCAGAAGGAGUUCUUCAGACAUUCCUGUUUGUCAAGUUUGUCUUGACCAAUACGCUUACUUCUAGCUGGCCAGUCCUCCUGCAAUGACAAAAGGUUUCUUUGGCAUUUCUUGUCUUGAAUUCUCUGAUUUUUUUUUCUCAAAGAGAUGUUUCCUGGUUUUCUAUUUACAGUAAAAACUGGAAUCUACUGAGUUGAAUACUUGAAUCUAUGAAAAAUAACAUAGUGUUAAGACACAUUAACAUUUUGUUUAAACUGUGGGCAGGUAUUAUUGAGUUAAUAUUUGACCGUUUCCCUGCCUCUAUGUAUUACAAUCUGCUGCGUAUUUUAUUAUCAACACUUUAAUGUAAAUCUAUUUGAUGAUAUAAACGGAAAGCUAUUUAAUGUAGACUUAAUAUUUAAUGCAGUAUACAUUCAAGGCUGUAAGAACGUGGAACGUGAGAUCACAUUUAGAAAACAGGUUUUAGCAGUACAGAAAUGCUAGACUAUAAAAGGAAGAAGGCAGUGACUGAGAGACAAAGACACAAGGUGCUUCACACAGGUUGCACAACUGCUUUGUGUGUGCUAUUGAUUGGUUUGAAGAAAAAAAAAGCCAUAAGGUUUUAUACACUUCAGACUGAUGGAGCAAUGCUGGAUAUGACUUGAAGGAUGAAUGAAAUGAGAGACUAUGGAGGAACAAACAGCAAAGAGCGAUGUGAGGAAUGGUCUGCAGAAUGAUAUUCCACGACUGCAAUCUAUGCUGGCAAAACUUAAUCUAAAACAACAAAAAUCCCAAGCUCCAAGUAUUUCAAACCUACAGGAAUAUGAAAAGUAUGAAGAUUUUGCAAAUGCAAUGCCAGCCAAAAGCUUCAGCAAAGCUGCUAAGAUUUUGGGACAGGGGUAUUCAGGCAUGAGCAUAGGAAAUGUGGAACAUGACAACUCACUCACCAAAACGCAAAAGAAAGGAGUGAAAAACAAAAUGAAGAAUCUUACUCAAAAACUGAUGGAAAAGCUUAAAGAUAAACAUGAUUGUGAGCACGCUGGCAGGAGGAGCACCCAAGACAGCAUGGAAGAAGAAGGACAAAAGAUAUGUUUACUUCCUCAUACUUCUAUGACAGAUCUCUUACACUAAAAUGAAUGUAAAUCAAUGUUGUGACUUAUAAUUAACUUUUUUAGUUCAUAUUUAACUAUUGCACUUUUUAUUGGGUUGCUUUUCAAACCUAAAUCACAAUGAAUCACCUUGCAGCUGAAUUCCAUGGAGGUGGAAGCCGAGGCUCAAGAUAUUCCACCAUCACUUCCACCAAAAAUGGGGAAAUAUGUUUUCUUAGAAAGCUGGGACAUACUAAACACAACCAUCAGUGUUAUUUUAGUAUUAUUUAUAUACUAUUAUGGUAUUUGUUCAUUUUAAUUCCUGUUUUAUUUUAAUUAUAUUUUAUGUUUUAGUCAUUUUGUGCUCUUGUCAUUUUUCUUAAAAAUAUUUAUGGAAUUUUACAGUCCUGUUCCACAUGUACAUCCUAUGUACUAUUAAUAGUGAACUAUUAUCAGUACAUAGGAUUAUUAGUACAUUUUUAGUACAUAGGCAUAUAACUGGAUUGUUAGUACGUAGGCAUAUAACUAGAUUAUUAGUACAUAGGCAUAUAACUGGGUAAUAAUAGGUACUAACCCAGAACCUAUCCUAGACCUAACUUUAAUCUUAUAUACAGUACUUUAUUAAGUAAGUACAUUGUAAGUACAUGUAAGUACAAAUACUGUAAAAUAAAGUGCAACUAAAAUAUUUGUAAAUAGCUUUC
ensembl:lncRNA